CAAACAAACAAACAAAAAACAAAUCAACCCUGCCUCCAAAAACCCACACUGAUUUUCACCUAACUCAUUUUCCUGUUCCAGCUCAGCACCUGGCAGCAUGAACACUACGGCAGCACAAAGGCAGGGAUGGGAAGGAUGCAGCCCCUUGAUUUACCACUGUUGCUAAUCUUCCAAGUCAAUGGACUCUGAAGAAGCACAGCAUGUCAAGUCAGGGAUAUGGCCAUCUGUUGGGAACAUACAUAAUUUUGUGAGGAAUGCUAUUUCAGUUUCAGAUGGACUUGUAUGGGCAGACAGACCUAGGACACAGCCUUGCCAGUAGCUGAAGACUGUGGGUCAAUGAGAAGAUGCUUAAUGAUUUUACUUAGCUUUUGAACCAGACAUUACAUGAUAUGUAAUUAAAGCUGUAAUUAAUUGCAUUAUUGUUGGUGGAGGGUUUCUGAAGACAUUACAAGUUUUACCAAUAAAAAUCACAGUCAUUUGAAUAUAUAAUAAGAAAUACACUUUUGUUAAAAUCCAGAAUUGCCACCGAGGACUUACUGAAAUAUUUACAUUCAGUGGUUCACUACACAUAAUAAAAGAGAAGUCCUAAAUUAGAGUUUAGUUUAUGUGACUCUGAACUGCAGUUCUAAACACCUACAUAAACUGACACCGUGACCACCCAUUUUGUCCUUUUAAAACCUUUUAAAAGUGUUUGGUAAAUCACUGAAUCACUGUUUAACAACCCCCUCCCUUUUUUUUCUUCUUCAGAUGAGAGUCUAAACUAUUGAAAAUGAUGCCAUACACUUGAUAAUUUCUGUAUCAAAUGAUGAUACUGAAUAGUAACUGUAAAUAAAAGUUUGAUCCU